CCAGCCUCCAACUGACCGGCAAUUCGAACUUCUAACAGUUCUGCCCUUUGAACUGUGUCCCGCCCUUUGAUGCAUUCCCGGCGCCGCCUGCCAUUCCUCCAGACUCGGCCGGAGCAGACACAGGGCCAGCCUUGAGGUGGAGACAGGAAAAUCCUCCCUCAGAGGAGGCAGCCUGGCGGGUGAAAUUAAACGCAGUGCCGCCGCCGCCGACUCCCAGAACACCGCUCCUGCUUCCGGCUCCGGGGCUGCUGAUAGCGGAAAAAAGGGCAGGCCCAGGGCUUGGGAUUGGUGGAGCCUCAAGGAUGGCCGGGCCAACCGUAUCCUCCAAUCGCCGAGCAGAGAAACUUGACUUGUGGGCAGUUCCUGACUGAGCUGUCAUCUCAAAUCACAGCUCACUGGGACGCGAUAGGGCCCGGUGCCCGGCCUCGCCCCUCUCCGCCGCUGUGGGCGUGGUUAUUACCGGAAAGACCCUGCACAGAUCUUUGAUUCUCAUCACACACAAAGAAGCCUCUACUCUGCCCUAACCACCCCUUCUGAGGACCCAACCCUAGCCUUGUUCCAUGUUCUAGACAGAAUGCUUCUGGUACUGGAGGGCUGCCAGAAUGACUGAGGAUAAAUUGACACACAGAUUGGGUCAGUGACGGGGGACAUUCUCCAUCAUCACGUGGAAUUGUCAUGUCCCUCACUGCGAACUCCUGGAGAACACAGGCUCUUGCAAUGGGAUGACCAGACCAGCUGCCUCAGCCCCACCCCUACCCCUGGUCUGGCUAGAAGUGCAGAUUCUCCAGCUCUACACCAGAACUUCUCACCAGAAUCUUCAAUGCUGGAGGCCAGCCAUCUGUGUUUUAACAACUCUCCCUGGUGAAAAAAGAGAAUCACUGACUCAAAGAUAUGAAGGUAACCAGUGGAUAUCGUGGGAGACAAGACAGCCCCGGAUAAUAAACUGGUGUGUCCGGCUGACCCUCUACAACCACGGAGAGGAGUGGAGCACGCAGAGGGAGGCAAUUAGCAGGCUGGACCAUAAAUAAAAUACACUUCAAUUAUGGGCCAGUGGAGGGAUGGUGGGCAAAAACCUGUAUUUGAGGCUUAUACAUGGCAGCUCUCACUUUGUCCUCCACAAACAAGCCACAGAACCCAAUUUGUGUGUUUACAUCUUAACCGCUGGGGGCUACACGUCCUAGGAUCAGAACCCUCAGUCACCCGUUUCCCUCCCACGUCUACCCGCUCUCCACGACAAAACUCGGACUUUGGUGGGGAAGGAGAUUUCUCUGGUUUGUGUGAAUCCCAAGCCUGCCUACCCCCGCGCCCCUUCACCACCACUCCCCAGGACGCCCCCUUCCCCACCCCAGUGCCUGUGGCCAGGUGCAAACACAUGGGAGAAUCAGCAUUGUGUGAGUUUUGAACACAGCAGGG
ensembl:lncRNA